CCCACCGCCACCUAGGCAGAUACUUACUAUGCUCAAAGAGAAAAAAAGCUAUGAUUCUUCCUCUGCUUAGCUCUGCUUUAAGGCCACACCUCCAUGCCGCAAAUAAGCAGUGGCUUUACAGUGAGAUUCUGCACCGGUGCCGUUGCCACAUACUCUAGUUUAGCAGCCAGCUGCUGCUCCUGCUGCUGCUGCUCCUGCUGCUGCUGCUGCUGUGCAGUCGAAUCUCUCUAGAGGAAAAUUCGAGUGCCCGCAAGACCAUCCUACUUUCUUGUGGAACACAUGCCACCACUGCUGGAAACGGAUAACGGCCACUCAACCUACCAGCCAGAUAACAGUCGCCAUCCGAUGGUGUAAAAAGUUCAAAAGUUUUCUUACUCGAGAUCUCGGCUCUCAGCUCAUGCAUGCACCGGGCGCCAGAUUCAGAUUCAGACACCCCCUGCCGCACAGUGCUGGUACAGAUAAUGAUGAGCCCGGUUAAAUUAGCACCUAACAAAGGACACGACGGGACGUGAGAGAUUUUAUUAUCGAACUCAUUCACUACGGAGCGCAAGGUUUUAGGUAGGCACAGCCUCUUGCUCCACUAGGAGUAUUUCAUUUCGUUUCAGGUACUAGUACUCCUACAAGUUUCUUCUCUCUUUUCUGCCGGUGCAUGGACGGCAGCGCUGACCUGCAAACAAUUGGCAAUGCUCGAGUCUUGGCGACCAAUUAUUUGGCCAACCCGUCAUGCAUCUUGACGUACUCCACGCAACAAACUUGAUUUUUUUUUAUUAUGGAAGCAACAAACUUGUUAACAGUGCUGAUGACGGUAUUAAAAGUAGUUUUAAAAUCCCUUGAGAUAGUUUAGCUACAAAGGCAAAGAAAAUGAGACAAGAGAUGCCAUGCUUGAUUCAGUAACAUGGACGAUGUUCAUUAUGGAAAGAGUUCAGUGAAGUGGGCGAUGUUUACUCAAUCUAGCAUAAAGGAAAAACUGCACAGUGAGUGAAUGAUGUGUGGCCUUUAAAUCCCGGCAGCCAGCGAGGAGGUGUGACCGCCACACUUGACUCGCUCCUCGCCUCGCCUUCCCUUCUCCCCUCUCUUCUCUUCUGUACCAGUGACAAGUGCCUCUCUUCUCCUCUCCGGCCAACACCGGAAACCUCCGACGGCUCCCUCCGUCCGCCGGCCAAUGCCGCCGCCGCCAGGGCGCGAGGGUCGUCGUAGUGGACACCGCCGCCGGCGACUCCUGUGGAUGGAGUCCGCGCUGCCCCUGAUGCGGUGGACGGGUUAACUGAUUUGUUGGAGCUGCGUGCAACCGUGCGUGCAUGCAUGCAUGCAUGUAGGCAAGUCUAAUGCUUGGCUGUUGUGUUCUCAUCUGUUGGUUCCACUUGGCUGUAAUUACUACCAGAUUCCCUUUCUUCUGUACUACUACUGUAUGUGUUCUUCAGUUCUUGGCUGGCAAGGCGCGCUUUGCUUCUUCGUUUCCCAUGCAUCUACGCGUCUCCUGAUUUCUGGCCGACGAUGCCUUUGUGUGUUUAAUUACUCGAUCCAUCUGUGUAAUUCCCUUGUGGCCUUUUGUGUUGGCUGAUUGCUUUCAACGCUUUAUCUGCAUGACAAUGCGCAAACCGACCUCCUGCGCGAGGCGUACUGCGGAGGCGAUCAGAGUCGGAGUGAUUUGUGGAAUUUUCAGUAGUACUCCCUCUGUGAAGAAAUAUAAGAGCGUUUAGAUUAGAUCACGGAGGGAGUACUAAUGCUACCUUGUGAUAGCUGCUAGCUGUAAAUGAAUGCCAAUCAAGUACCCAGCACUUCUGAUCUUUCCAAGCAAGUACCCAUGUUAAAUCGACGGUGAAACCAGACGAAAACUGAUACAACUUGGCCACACGUAGACUACUCUCAAAGCAUGAAUCCCCGCGACCGCAAAGACGGGCCUUCAUAAAGCUCCC
rnacentral:lncRNA from 1 species